rnacentral:rRNA from 1 species
AUCCUACGGGGCGCAGCAGUGGGGAAUAUUGCACAAUGGGGGAGACCCUGAUGCAGCAACGCCGCGUGAGUGAAGAAGUAUUUCGGUAUGUAAGGCUCUAUCAGCAGGGAAGAAAAUGACAGUACCUGACUAAGAAGCCCCGGCUAACUACGUGCCAGCAGCCGCGGUAAUACGUAGGUGGCAAGCGUUAUCCGGAUUUACUGGGUGUAAAGGGGGCGCAGACGGCGAUGCAAGCCAGGAGUGAAAGCCCGGGGCCCAACCCCGGGACGGCUCUUGGAACUGCGGGGCUGGAGGGCAGGAGGGUG